rnacentral:lncRNA from 1 species
GCCAGCUUGAAGAGGAGAAUUGGAAAGCUAGGACAGAGUCUGUGAAACUGCUACAUUUCUGUGGUCAAGGAGCUUAGGUUCAUUUGGUACUUAUGCAGUAGCUUAAUUUAAAUAGUCACCUCAGAAAAAUGCCUCAUAUUUACUUGAUUCAAAUCAUUCUAUUGUAUAUGUUUGGAUUAGCAAACCAAGUCUAAAGAUUGAGCUUUAGAAAGCAACUGGUUUAGUCAUUAGCUGCUAAGAAACAUACACACCUCAAUUCUGUUAUAGGUACCAUAAUAAUACCUCUUCCUCCUCACUGAAG